UACGGAGGGGGCAAGCGUUGUCCGGAUUUAUUGGGCGUAAAGAGCGUGUAGGCGGCUAUACAGGUCCGUUGUGAAAACUGGAGGCUUAACCUCCAGACGUCGAUGGAAACCGUAUGGCUAGAGUCCGGAAGAGGAGAGUGGAAUUCCUGGUGUAGCGGUGAAAUGCGCAGAUAUCAGGAAGAACACCCGUGGCGAAGGCGGCUCUCUGGGACGGUACUGACGCUGAGACGCGAAAGCGUGGGGAGCGAACAGG
rnacentral:rRNA from 1 species